rnacentral:rRNA from 1 species
AGUUGCAAACCCAUAUAGGCAUUGAUCUUGCUACACUUGACAGUGAAGCGUGCUAGGGGGAGGGUAGUACUAGGGUGGGUGACCUCCUGGGAAGUCCUCGUUUUGUAUUUC